ensembl:lncRNA
CUGCUGUAGAAGCUGCAUACAGCUGUUGUAUCCGCCGGGGUCUCCAGUGUCUACCCCUCCUUGAACUCCUCCUACCAGAGAUUCCCCUAUAACUUCCAAAAUCCUCUCCUCCAAGGCGUUCCGUCCUCUGUUUUACAGAGGACAUCCCUCCUCCUGUCUUCUUCAUCUCCCACGCCCUCUCAGCAGCUUUUUUUGACGAGGGAUUUUACGUCUGCCCAUUUCUUUUGAAUAGCACUCGCAUCGCGCUCCAUCUCCCCCACUGCGGACACCGAUUGGGCAACUUUCGCCCAUGCCCUCUUCUUAUUAUCUGCCGUCACUACACUAUCCAACUUCCCAUUUAAUAAUUUUCGCCUUGAAACAACCUCCUCCACCAACACCUCCAACUCCUGUUUCGAAAAGUUUUUGCUUCGCUUGGCACUGUUGUCCUCCAUUUCUUCAAUAAUAGUAGUAUAGUAACUCCACAGAAUUAACGGUUUAUUCUCCGCGGGAACCAAAACAUAAACAUCAACAAAGUACAGGUAACAUAGCAACGGGGCCAGCCCCCUCCGCUGCUCCAGCAACAACAAGAGCGCACGCGGAUGAACAUUACAUGCAUUCCUCUACUACGUUAACAAUCGAAGAACUUCUUAAGUCAGAAAACAAAGAAGUUCAGUAAGUUUUAUCUUAAGAAAAUGUUUGUGAAUCCGGCCCCUGGCCCUUUUCCCACGCCCUUUGCCUGCUCCGACGCCGCCAUGAAAAGCCUGGUCAACGGUGCCGAUUGGCGCCGAAAGACUGGGCUUGACUACUGCAAUGGUCUUCUCUACGGCACCACCAACAAAGUCCUCAAAAAACGUCAAUAUGUCCAGAACUCAGCUGUGCGCCUCCUCACUGGUACCCGCUCCAGAGAACACAUCACACCUGUCCUCCGUGAACUCCAUUGGCUUCCAAUUAAACACAGAAUCAACUAUCUUACUCAUCACCUACAAGGCCCUCAACAGCCUAGCCCCCCCCUACCUUGCCGACCUCCUCCAUCACCACGCCCCCUCCCGAUUCCUCAGGUCCAAUUCUGCCAACC